CCUACGGGAGGCAGCAGUGGGGAAUAUUGCACAAUGGGCGAAAGCCUGAUGCAGCAACGCCGCGUGAGCGAUGAAGGCCUUCGGGUCGUAAAGCUCUGUCCUCAAGGAAGAUAAUGCCGGUACUUGAGGAUGAAGCCCCGGCUAACUACGUGCCAGCAGCCGCGGUAAUACGCAGGGGGGUAGCGUUAUCCGGAAUUACUGGGCGUAAAGGGGGCGUAGGUGGGUUCUUAAGUCAGAGGUGAAAGGCUACGGAUCAAACGUAGUAAGCCUUUGAAACUGGGGAACUUGAGUGCCAGAGAGGAGAGUGGAAUUCCUGGUGUAGCGGUGAAAUGCGUAGAUAUUAGGAGGAACACCGGUUGCGAAGGCGGCUCUCUGGACUGUAACUGACACUGAGGCACGAAAGCGUGGGGAGCAAACAGGAUUAGAUACCCUUGUAGUC
rnacentral:rRNA from 1 species